ACUCAAAGGAAUUGACGGGGGCCCGCACAAGCGGUGGAGCAUGUGGUUCAAUUCGACGCAACGCGAAGAACCUUACCUGGGCUCGAAGCGCAGUGGACUGAGGUAGAAAUACUUCUUUCUCGCAAGAGACUGCUGCGUAGGUGCUGCAUGGCUGUCGUCAGCUCGUGUCGUGAGAUGUUGGGUUAAGUCCCGCAACGAGCGCAACCCUUAUUGCCAGUUGCCAUCAUUAAGUUGGGCACUCUGGCGAAACUGCCCCGGAUAACGGGGAGGAAGGUGGGGAUGACGUCAAGUCCUCAUGGCCUUUAUGUCCAGGGCUACACACGUGCUACAAUGGUCGGUACAAACCGUCGCAAACCCGUGAGGGGGAGCUAAUCGGAAAAAGCCGACCUCAGUUCGGAUUGUAGUCUGCAACUCGACUACAUGAAGCUGGAAUCGCUAGUAAUCGCAGAUCAGAACGCUGCGGUGAAUACGUUCCCGGGCCUUGCACACACCGCCCGU
rnacentral:rRNA from 1 species